rnacentral:rRNA from 1 species
GACGAUCAGAUACCGUC